CUUUCUGUCCUAUUUUCCCUCUUUAACUCCACUUUUUUGCUCCAUUUUGUAAAGAGUUUUGUUUAAACUUUGUUGCGGGUGAUCUACCGGACGGCCGUAAGUCGUAACCUUUCACUUUUUCCUUUUUGGAUUGUCAUCCUUUUAUGUUUAUUUUGUGUUUCAUUAUUUUGAUAUUGCUUUCAAUUUUUGUUGUUUUGUUGGUAUGUGGUUGUAGGUAUGUUGCAUGUACAGAAUUCCUAUGUUGAAUCCUCUUCGUCAUUCCUAUGAUCUGAUUUUCCUUAUUAUUGGUGAGUUCUUUCUCCAUUUUUUGUUUGUUUCACUGAUUUGGAGAAAUAUAAAGAUAAAAAUUGAUGCAACACAUUUCUGCGAUUUCUAAAGAAUAAUAAGGAAGGAUUUUGAAUCUGGCAAAACUCAGAGUAACUCAAUCUGAAUGUAUAAUAUACUCUAUAUUUACAUGUGAAUUUUUCAGAAUUUUUAAUCGAUUUCUCACUUCUACUGACUUUUCAAGUAAUUUUUUGUGCAAAGUUCUUGGUGUGUUCUGGUUUCAAUGGCUUUCAUCAUUGCUCUGACUGAACUCUUCUUUUAUCCUCCUUUAUUUCUCAUUGUAAGAGCUUGGACAUUAACAAAAGAUUAGAUGCAUCCAAGUUUAAGAUACCAUAAAUUGGAGAGAACUCUAAUUGUUAUGAUUUUCCAACUCUUUCUGCCCAUGUUAUUGUUAACAACUCAACAUAUCUUUCGUAGACACAUGCAUGGACUAAGAUUCAACAUUGAUGAAGUAAUAACAGAGACUCUUGAUUGGACUUGCAAAUUCUAAAUCGCGAACAUGAGUUGACAGCGAGAAUGCCCGAAGAAGAAAAUGAAUUUCAAUGCUCACACUAAAAAAUAUCUAUUUUGAUUUGACCAAAAUCAUCUAAACGAAGUCCUCAUUACUUGGAUGAUAUCUUGUUUAUGAACAAAAUAUUGAUCUUAAUCUACUAGUAAAUGAUCAGUUACAUAUGUGACAGAUACUGCGGUCACUUUUAUGAUUUUGCUAAUACCUGUUUUUUUUUUCUAAUGAUAAUAGGAACCUGUUGGACGUAGCUUUCUAAAAACUGAUUUCGUAGCUGAUAUUUCGUUGCAUACAUAAUAAAAGAAAGGAUGAAGAGUGCAUAUUUGAAUUGGUACCGUAUGUUGGUUUAGGAAUCUGGUGGCGUUGAUAUUAUCCAAAUAAUCUUGGUUUGAUCAUAUUGGGUAAAGUUUUCUCAUUUUCAUACCAUCUUUAUGUGUUUAUCAUUUCUUGAAGCUUUUUAGGAAUACACAUAUCGUCUUACAAUGGUGUCACAAAGGAGUGAUAGAGAAAUAGGUGUCAUAAUUCGUUAUGAUCUGAAAGAUUUGAGCUCAUACAAUUGGCUUUUCGUUAUUCUUUUAUGUUUUAUCCAUGUCAUGAAGCUAUUCCCUGAAAUUUGUAAAGAGAAGACAAAGGUGCAUCUUAUAUGUGUUGAAGUUACUCAUGAAGAAGUUAUAUGUUUUGCAUGCACCAAAUUGAUCCAAAUAUCCUUAACACAAUAUGUCACUUUUGACUGCAGGGUGUUGAAGUAUCAACACACAAGUAGGAACACAAAAUAGCUAUCCACCAUCUUUUUGAAUUUGAACACUUGCUCAAGUGCAUUACUAUUUUUUCCCUGCUGCUUCAAGUAAAAUUAAGAAAUUAUUUUAGAAGGUUAACGAGUUAAUGAAACUGAUUAAUCUAUACUUAUUAAUCUUAGCUUCUGGGAGUUUUUUUAUUGAUGAGUUGUAAUAUCACAAUAAUCAACUUUAAUUGACUUGUAUAGCCCAUAGUGCAGAAUAUUAUGUAGAUAUGACUAGGUUAAUGUUUUAGAAAGUUAAUUCUCUAAAAUAUUGUGAAUGUGCGUGCUUGCUUCUUGCUUGAAAAUUUGAAGAAUUCCUUUUUGCUGGUUGUCUUUAAAAUUCUUAUUGUCUACCUCCCAAAAUAUUUACUAACUGGACUAAGCAUUAGUAUGGAGCUUAUUAGCUUUUAACAUAAGUGCAGAUAGAGAAAAAAGUGAGGCCAAACUUAGUAAACGGCUAUUUAGAGCAUUUGUAUGUAUAGAGCUAUAGGAGGCAUUAUGAACCUGCUAAAAAAAUAUCAUAUUUGUGAAAAUGUGUUGUUUUCUUCUCAGUUUAUAUGCAAUAGUUGAGAAAAUGUUACUCAAACCUCAUUUUGCAGGCAACAAGAGCCUUGAUAAUCUGUUCAUAUACAAGAUCCAGACAAAGCCAGAGAGUUGAGAGAAACACACACACACACACAAAGAUGAAGAAGAAGAAUAAGGUAGGAAGAUUACAAGGUAUGGAAUCAAACCGUUCCAAUAGAGAUCUCAUCACCGAUGCUCCUCAUAAGGUACUAUCCCUAAAAUUAUUGUGGAUCAACUACUGAUACAGAAUCACGUUACUCAUAGAGGCUAUAUUGCUCGAGGUCAUGAAAUUUGUCCACAACUAAUCAAUAUCGAGGUCAGCUACCUUCAAGUGACUAACAGGGAUAUUCGAUUGUAUUAUGGUAUAGAUCAUGCACAAAUAUCAUAGACAAAUUUUCUCCUGCUAGACUUCUGUUUAACUAUUUUUCCUCUUCAUUCUCUUCUUAAGUUAGAACACAUUCUUACUCUCAUUUUUUGAUGAAUUCCUUUUAUUCUAUGUCAUUGUACGAAUUAAUUUCUUAUAUAUCUUCAUUUACUACGUGAAAAAUUUAUGAAGAAGUUGACAAAAUUAAGAGUAAAAGCCAUAAUUUGGAGAACACCCUCAAUGGCUUUGACUUAUUACUAUUAUAUUGAUUGUUACGUAUGCAUAUACCAAGCAAAAAUUAGUAAAUGAAUAUGAAAUCGGAUUAUAGAUGCUAUGAUGAGAGAUGAGAGAAGCUAAUAAGAAGUUCAAAUUUUUUUAGGCAUGAUUGAAAAACAUCAUCAAUUUUCAGUGCAUUCAUGUAUAUUUGAUUACUAAUUCACUCUUUUUUUUCCUUGUGAAGGAAAUUUACAUGAAGACACAAUUGUAGAUUUUAUAAUGUCAACAAUCGCACUGUAGAUGGUCAUUAUAUUUUUUCAUAUCAUUAUUUUUAUUACACACCUUUCUUGCAUGUACCAUUAAUGUGUGCAUUGUAUGAACUCUUAUCAUUUCUCAUUAAACUUCCUUUGUGGAGAGGGAGAUUACUUAGUAAAUGCAGUGAGAAUGAUAACAUUGUGUCACACUGUGUAUAUCUAGGAGUCACAAAAUUGCAGAUGUACACUGAUAAGUAUCUGUACUUACUGAUUUUUGAUUAUUUUUUUCUGCAUUUGUCUCUUUUAUUAUAUAUGUAUAAUGUUUGAAGCUUUGCAUACAUGCAUCUCCAACUUCCUAGAUUGACUGAUAUUUAUAUGUUUUUCUCAGGUACCUCGACCUAUUUCUAUGCCAUGAUUUCUUGAAAUACGAAAGAUUGGCUACAAAGUUUCGGACUCCAACUGAAACACCUUACCAUUAUUAAAAUAGGAUAUGCUUAUGAUCUAAAUGAAGACUCAAAACAUUUGUUACAUUUUUGGUGUAUUAUGUCUAUUACAACUACGCUUGUAGACAAGUAGACGGGGAUUCCUUAUUGCAUUUUCAUAUCAUCCAGAGGCGUUGCUCUUAAAUUUAUUUUUUGAGUAUGAGAUAGAUGUUGCUCUUUUGUUCCUGGGUAAGCUUGACAACCCCAUCCCAAACAAGGUACCCUUUGCAACCGCCUUUUCAGAUAGGGCAUUUCAUUCAUCGGAAAUCAAAUUCCUCUCUUCUCUUUAAUGACUUGAUUUUUUUUUUCAAAUUUCAAAAUUCCUUGUUCUUAUUCUUCGCUAAAUGUGUGAAAUAGACCAAAUCCUUAUGCCAACCUAUGCCUUGAGUUCCUCAUCCCCUACAAUAGGUCCAAGAAUAACAACAAGGUACUGAUCUACACUAGAAUUGAGCAGAGGGUAUGCUCAUUUUCCAGCCAAGGGCAUUCUAAUGUUGACAAGGAUCGUGUUUUUUGUUGCUUCUACCAUUCGGACAAUACAAAUG
rnacentral:lncRNA from 1 species